rnacentral:piRNA from 1 species
GCAUAUCCUACUUUUCCUCCCACC